rnacentral:rRNA from 1 species
UACGGAGGGGGCUAGCGUUGUUCGGAAUUACUGGGCGUAAAGCGCACGUAGGCGGCUUUGUAAGUUAGAGGUGAAAGCCCAGGGCUUAACCCUGGAAUUGCCUUUAAGACUGCAUCGCUAGAAUCGUGGAGAGGUGAGUGGAAUUCCGAGUGUAGAGGUGUAAUUCGUAGAUAUUCGGAAGAACACCAGUGGCGAAGGCGACUCACUGGACACGUAUUGACGCUGAGGUGCGAAAGCGUGGGGAGCAAACAGG